rnacentral:rRNA from 1 species
UACGAAGGGGGCUAGCGUUGUUCGGAAUCACUGGGCGUAAAGGGCGCGUAGGCGGCCGAUCAAGUCGGGGGUGAAAGCCUGUGGCUCAACCACAGAAUUGCCUUCGAUACUGUUUGGCUUGAGACCGGAAGAGGUUAGUGGAACUGCGAGUGUAGAGGUGAAAUUCGUAGAUAUUCGCAAGAACACCAGUGGCGAAGGCGGCUGACUGGUCCGGUUCUGACGCUGAGGCGCGAAAGCGUGGGGAGCAAAAGGG